AGCGGUUAAGCACUUGGCUGCUAACCAAAAGGUCGGUGGUUCAAACCCACCAGCUGCUC
rfam:Loxodonta africana unplaced genomic scaffold scaffold_53, whole genome shotgun sequence.